rnacentral:rRNA from 1 species
GGGUCAACAUCCCAUCCGUGUCUAUUGUCACUCGUUGAUACCGCGUGACCACCGCUCGUCGGCCGCCGGGGGGGCGCCUCUGCCCCCCGGGCCCGUGCCCGCCGGAGACCCCAACACGAACACUGUCUGAAAGCGUGCAGUCUGAGUUGAUUGAAUGCAAUCAGUUAAAACUUUCAACAAUGGAUCUCUUGGUUCCGGCAUCGAUGAAGAACGCAGCGAAAUGCGAUAACUAAUGUGAAUUGCAGAAUUCAGUGAAUCAUCGAGUCUUUGAACGCACAUUGCGCCCCCUGGUAUUCCGGGGGGCAUGCCUGUCCGAGCGUCAUUGCUGCCCUCAAGCCCGGCUUGUGUGUUGGGUCGCCGUCCCCCUCUCCGGGGGGACGGGCCCGAAAGGCAGCGGCGGCACCGCGUCCGAUCCUCGAGCGUAUGGGGCUUUGUCACAUGCUCUGUAGGAUUGGCCGGCGCCUGCCGACGUUUUCCAACCAUUCUUUCCAGGUUGACCUCAGAUCACGUAGGGAUACCCGCUGAACUUAAGCAUAUCAAUAACAAAGAGGAA